AUGCAACGGCGCGAGCGAGAGACAGAGGCGAGGCAGGUGAAAGGCGAGCGAGAAGAUGAGGUUUGUGUGGAUGAGCAGUUGGUGAGGAUAAGGACGUGGCAUUGCUGGAUAAGGACAGGGUGCCUGAGUGGUGCACGUGGGACCAAUGGAUGCGUGAUGUGCAUGCGGCACUUGCGCGUGUACGCGACGAGAGCGAUGCGACCGGCCGAAAGUUCGGCCGGCGCGCCGUAUACAAGUGUUUAUUCGGGCGAUGAUAGGCGCCGGCGCACCGGCCCAAAUUUGGGCCGGUCAGCCGCGAGCCGUACGAUUCUGCCCCUGUCAGCCGUCUGA
rnacentral:rRNA from 1 species